GACGAACGCUGUCGGCGUGCUUAACACAUGCAAGUCGAACGGAAAGGCCCUGCUUUUGUGGGGUGCUCGAGUGGCGAACGGGUGAGUAACACGUGAGUAACCUGCCCUUGACUUUGGGAUAACUUCAGGAAACUGGGGCUAAUACCGGAUAGGAGCUCCUGCUGCAUGGUGGGGGUUGGAAAGUUUCGGCGGUUGGGGAUGGACUCGCGGCUUAUCAGCUUGUUGGUGGGGUAGUGGCUUACCAAGGCUUUGACGGGUAGCCGGCCUGAGAGGGUGACCGGCCACAUUGGGACUGAGAUACGGCCCAGACUCCUACGGGAGGCAGCAGUGGGGAAUAUUGCACAAUGGGCGGAAGCCUGAUGCAGCAACGCCGCGUGCGGGAUGACGGCCUUCGGGUUGUAAACCGCUUUCGCCUGUGACGAAGCGUGAGUGACGGUAAUGGGUAAAGAAGCACCGGCUAACUACGUGCCAGCAGCCGCGGUGAUACGUAGGGUGCGAGCGUUGUCCGGAUUUAUUGGGCGUAAAGGGCUCGUAGGUGGUUGAUCGCGUCGGAAGUGUAAUCUUGGGGCUUAACCCUGAGCGUGCUUUCGAUACGGGUUGACUUGAGGAAGGUAGGGGAGAAUGGAAUUCCUGGUGGAGCGGUGGAAUGCGCAGAUAUCAGGAGGAAUACCAGUGGCGAAGGCGGUUCUCUGGGCCUUUCCUGACGCUGAGGAGCGAAAGCGUGGGGAGCGAACAGGCUUAGAUACCCUGGUAGUCCACGCUGUAAACGGUGGGUACUAGGUGUGGGGUCCAUUCCACGGGUUCCGUGCCGUAGCUAACGCUUUAAGUACCCCGCCUGGGGAGUACGGCCGCAAGGCUAAAACUCAAAGGAAUUGACGGGGCCCCGCACAAGCGGCGGAGCAUGCGGAUUAAUUCGAUGCAACGCGUAGAACCUUACCUGGGUUUGACAUGGAUCGGGAGUGCUCAGAGAUGGGUGUGCCUCUUUUGGGGUCGGUUCACAGGUGGUGCAUGCCUGUCGUCAGCUCGUGUCGUGAGAUGUUGGGUUAAGUCCCGCAACGAGCGCAACCCUUGUUCACUGUUGCCAGCACGUUAUGGUGGGGACUCAGUGGAGACCGCCGGGGUCAACUCGGAGGAAGGUGGGGAUGACGUCAAGUCCUCAUGCCCCUUAUGUCCAGGGCUUCACGCAUGCUACAAUGGCUGGUACAGAGAGUGGCGAGCCUGUGAGGGUGAGCGAAUCUCGGAAAGCCGGUCUCAGUUCGGAUUGGGGUCUGCAACUCGACCUCAUGAAGUCGGAGUCGCUAGUAAUCGCAGAUCAGCAACGCUGCGGUGAAUACGUUCCCGGG
rnacentral:rRNA from 1 species